GAUGAAGAACAUAGCGAAAUGCGAUAAGUAGUGUGAAUUGCAGAAUUCAGUGAAUCAUCGAAUCUUUGAACGCACAUUGCGCCCUUUGGUAUUCCUUAGGGCAUGCCUGUUCGAGCGUCAUCUAAACCUUCAAGCUCAGCUUGGUGAUGGGCGACUGUCCCCCCCCCUCGCGGGGGGGACUCGCCUCAAAAACAUUGGCGGCCGGUACAUUGGCUUCGAGCGCAGCAGAAACGCGGUCUCGAGCCCGGUGGAUCGGCUCCCAUAAGCCUAUUCUUUUAUUUUGACCUCGGAUCAGGUAGGGAUACCCGCUGAACUUAAGCAUAUCAAUAAGCGGAGGA
rnacentral:misc_RNA from 1 species